rnacentral:rRNA from 1 species
GAGGAAAGAGGGAGGAGGGAAGAAUACAGGAAAGUCGAGCGAACAGACGAGGAGCUUGCUCCUCUGACGUUAGCGGCGGACGGGUGAGUAACACGUGGAUAAAAUACCUAUAAGACUGGGAUAACUUCGGGAAACCGGAGCUAAUACCGGAUAAUAUAUUGAACCGCAUGGUUCAAUAGUGAAAGACGGUUUUGCUGUCACUUAUAGAUGGAUCCGCGCCGCAUUAGCUAGUUGGUAAGGUAACGGCUUACCAAGGUGACGAUGCGUAGCCGACCUGAGAGGGUGAUCGGCCACACUGGAACUGAGACACGGUCCAGACUCCUACGGGAGGCAGCAGUAGGGAAUCUUCCGCAAUGGGCGAAAGCCUGACGGAGCAACGCCGCGUGAGUGAUGAAGGUCUUCGGAUCGUAAAACUCUGUUAUUAGGGAAGAACAAAUGUGUAAGUAACUAUGCACGUCUUGACGGUACCUAAUCAGAAAGCCCCGGCUAACUACGUC